AGUGAACGCUGGCGGUAGGCCUAACACAUGCAAGUCGAACGGCAGCACAGAGGAGCUUGCUCCUUGGGUGGCGAGUGGCGGACGGGUGAGGAAUACAUCGGAAUCUACUCUGUCGUGGGGGAUAACGUAGGGAAACUUACGCUAAUACCGCAUACGACCUACGGGUGAAAGCAGGGGAUCUUCGGACCUUGCGCGAUUGAAUGAGCCGAUGUCGGAUUAGCUAGUUGGCGGGGUAAAGGCCCACCAAGGCGACGAUCCGUAGCUGGUCUGAGAGGAUGAUCAGCCACACUGGAACUGAGACACGGUCCAGACUCCUACGGGAGGCAGCAGUGGGGAAUAUUGGACAAUGGGCGCAAGCCUGAUCCAGCCAUACCGCGUGGGUGAAGAAGGCCUUCGGGUUGUAAAGCCCUUUUGUUGGGAAAGAAAUCCAGCCGGCUAAUACCUGGUUGGGAUGACGGUACCCAAAGAAUAAACACCGGCUAACUUCGU
rnacentral:rRNA from 1 species